rfam:Camelus ferus unplaced genomic scaffold scaffold303, whole genome shotgun sequence.
GGAGGUAUAGCUCAGAGGUAGAGCACCUGUUUAGCAGGCAGGAGGUCCUAUGUUCAAUCCCCAGUACCUCCA